AUUGAACGCUGGCGGCAGGCCUAACACAUGCAAGUCGAACGAGAGGCGGACGGGUGAGUAAUGUCUGGGAAACUGCCUGAUGGAGGGGGAUAACUACUGGAAACGGUAGCUACUACCGCAUACCAUCAGAUGUGCCCAGAUGGGAUUAGCGAGUUGGUGGGGUCACGGCUCACCAAGGCGACGAUCCGUAGCUGGUCUGAGAGGAUGACCAGACACACUGGAACUGAGACACGGUCCAGACUCCUACGGGAGGAAGCAGGGGGGAAUAUUGCACAAUGGGCGCAAGCCUGAUGCAGCCAUGCCGCGUGUAUGAAGAAGGCCUUCGGGUUGUAAAGUACUUUCAGCGGGGAGGCGUUACCCGCAGAAGAAGCACCGGCUAACUCCGUGCCAGCAGCCGCGGUAAUUC
rnacentral:rRNA from 1 species